GAACUUUCCAGAGAUGGAUUGGUGCCUUCGGGAACUUAGAUACAGGUGCUGCAUGGCUGUCGUCAGCUCGUGUCGUGAGAUGUUGGGUUAAGUCCCGNAACGAGCGCAACCCUUUUCCUUAUUUGCCAGCGGGUCAUGCCGGGAACUUUAAGGAUACUGCCAGUGACAAACUGGAGGAAGGCGGGGACGACGUCAAGUCAUCAUGGCCCUUACGGCCAGGGCUACACACGUGCUACAAUGGUCGGUACAAAGGGUUGCUACCUCGCGAGAGGAUGCUAAUCUCAAAAAGCCGAUCGUAGUCCGGAUCGCAGUCUGCAACUCGACUGCGUGAAGUCGGAAUCGCUAGUAAUCGCGGAUCAGAAUGCCGCGGUGAAUACGUUCCCGGGCCUUGUACACACCGCCCGUCACACCAUGGGAGUUUGUUGCACCAGAAGUAGGUAGUCUAACCGCAAGGAGGACGCUUACCACGGUGUGGCCGAUGACUGGGGUGAAGUCGUAACAAGGUAAGCGUAGAUGA
rnacentral:rRNA from 1 species